UGAAGCUAGUACUGCUAACACUGACAU
rnacentral:misc_RNA from 1 species